UACGUAGGCAGCAAGCGUUGUCCGGAAUCAUUGGGCGUAAAGCGCGCGUAGGCGGUCAGGUAAGUCCGGUGUGAAAGUCAAAGGCUCAACCUUUGAAUGCCGCUGGAUACUGCCUGACUUGAGUCCGGAAGGGGCGAGUGGAAUUCCUGGUGUAGCGGUGAAAUGCGCAGAUAUCAGGAGGAACACCAAUGGCGAAGGCAGCUCGCUGGAACGGUACUGACGCUGAGGCGCGAAAGCGUGGGGAGCGAACAGG
rnacentral:rRNA from 1 species